GUGCUGUGCAAAAGGAGGGAAGGUUAGCACUCUCCUUCCUAAGGCUAGGAGAUGCCUUCCUGUCCUACAAAAUACACACAUGGCUAAGGCAUUGCCAUGUUCUUCACGAUGUCUCCACCAUCCUUCCUU
rfam:Pygoscelis adeliae contig92896, whole genome shotgun sequence.